GACGAACGCUGGCGGCGUGCCUAAUACAUGCAAGUCGAGCGAAUCAAAGGGAGCUUGCUCCCUGAGAUUAGCGGCGGACGGGUGAGUAACACGUGGGCAACCUGCCUAUAAGACUGGGAUAACUUCGGGAAACCGGAGCUAAUACCGGAUAAUUCAUAUCUACUCAUGUAGAUGUGCUGAAAGACGGUUUCGGCUGUCACUUAUAGAUGGGCCCGCGGCGCAUUAGCUAGUUGGUGAGGUAACGGCUCACCAAGGCGACGAUGCGUAGCCGACCUGAGAGGGCGAUCGGCCACACUGGGACUGAGACACGGCCCAGACUCCUACGGGAGGCAGCAGUAGGGAAUCUUCCGCAAUGGACGAAAGUCUGACGGAGCAACGCCGCGUGAGUGAUGAAGGUUUUCGGAUCGUAAAACUCUGUUGUUAGGGAAGAACAAGUACCAGAGUAACUGCUGGUACCUUGACGGUACCUAACCAGAAAGCCACGGCUAACUACGUGCCAGCAGCCGCCGUAAGAC
rnacentral:rRNA from 1 species